UACGUAGGGGGCAAGCGUUGUCCGGAUUUAUUGGGCGUAAAGAGCGCGUAGGCGGUCAGGGAGGUCCGUUGUGAAAACUCGAGGCUCAACCUCGAGACGCCGAUGGAAACCAUCUGACUAGAGUCCGGAAGGGGAGAGUGGAAUUCCUGGUGUAGCGGUGAAAUGCGCAGAUAUCAGGAAGAACACCCGUGGCUAAGGCGGCUCUCUAGUACGGUACUGACGCUGAGACGCGAAAGCGUGGGGAGCGAACAGG
rnacentral:rRNA from 1 species